UUAGGCGUGGGGGAGGAGGGGAGCAUGGCAGUUGGCACCCUCACUUGUCAGCAAGUUCAUCAGGCUCAAUUCCAGGCACCUAAAGGAUUGACAGGGGCACUGUUGUGAGUUUUGCCAAGGUGAAAAAGAUGAGGAGGAUGGUGGUGGAUACCUCUGUUUAUUGGCUGGUGGUCGGUAUUGUUCGUAAGGGUUGUCUAGAAUCUCAUCAGUCUUCUCAUCGAAGAGGCCUAUGCCAUUGAAUGUGAAACUCACAAAGAAGGCGAACAGAGCUCUGCUCGGGAGAUGAAGCCUCAGCAAGUGGCAAAAUGAAACUGAGACAAUUGGCAGGACGGGCAGACCAUGUGUACUAGUGGGUAGUCCUAGCUCUAGAAUAUUCCAGAAACAUCUGCAUAAGCACAGAAUAAACUCUAUAGUGUGCAUUCACA